rnacentral:rRNA from 1 species
CACGUAGGGCGCAAGCGUUGUCCGGAAUUAUUGGGCGUAAAGAGCUCGUAGGCGGUCUGUUGCGUCCGCUGUGAAAACCCGGGGCUUAACCCCUGGCUUGCAGUGGAUACGGACAGACUAGAGGUAGGUAGGGGAGAAUGGAAUUCCCGGUGUAGCGGUGAAAUGCGUAGAUAUCGUGAGGAAGACCAGUGGCGAAGGCGGAUCUCUGGACAGUUCCUGACGCUGAGGCGCGAAGGCCAGGGGAGCAAACGGG